CCUACGGGUGCCUGCAGUGGGGAAUAUUGCACAAUGGGCGCAAGCCUGAUGCAGCCAUGCCGCGUGUGUGAAGAAGGCCUUCGGGUUGUAAAGCACUUUCAGCGGGGAGGAAGGCGUUAAGGUUAAUAACCUUGGCGAUUGACGUUACCCGCAGAAGAAGCACCGGCUAACUCCGUGCCAGCAGCCGCGGUAAUACGGAGGGUGCAAGCGUUAAUCGGAAUUACUGGGCGUAAAGCGCACGCAGGCGGUCUGUCAAGUCGGAUGUGAAAUCCCCGGGCUCAACCUGGGAACUGCAUUCGAAACGGGCAGGCUAGAGUCUUGUAGAGGGGGGUAGAAUUCCAGGUGUAGCGGUGAAAUGCGUAGAGAUCUGGAGGAAUACCGGUGGCGAAGGCGGCCCCCUGACAAAGACUGACGCUCAGGUGCGAAAGCGUGGGGAGCAAACAGGAUUAGAUACCCUAGUAGUC
rnacentral:rRNA from 1 species